rnacentral:rRNA from 1 species
GACGAACGCUGGCGGCGCGCCUAAUACAUGCAAGUUGAGCGCUGAAGGUUGGUACUUGUACCAACUGGAUGAGCAGCGAACGGGUGAGUAACGCGUGGGGAAUCUGCCUUUGAGCGGGGGACAACAUUUGGAAACGAAUGCUAAUACCGCAUAAAAACUUUAAACACAAGUUUUAAGUUUGAAAGAUGCAAUUGCAUCACUCAAAGAUGAUCCCGCGUUGUAUUAGCUAGUUGGUGAGGUAAAGGCUCACCAAGGCGAUGAUACAUAGCCGACCUGAGAGGGUGAUCGGCCACAUUGGGACUGGGACACGGCCCAAACUCCUACGGGAGGCAGCAGUAGGGAAUCUUCGGCAAUGGACGAAAGUCUGACCGAGCAACGCCGCGUGAGUGAAGAAGGUUUUCGGAUCGUAAAACUCUGUUGGUAGAGAAGAACGUUGGUGAGAGUGGAAAGCUCAUCAAGUGACGGUAACUACCCAGAAAGGGACGGCUAACUACGUG